GCUGUAUUGGCCAGAGUGCCAGAGGGAAAGCAUGAAUCACUUGAAAUAACAGCUUUGUCUCAUACUUCUCAGCAGCUCCAGUAGGACUGACAGUAUUUACUGUUUCAGGGGAAUUCUCAGACAGACAACACACACCACACACCUGCACACAGGUUACAGCGAUAAAACCAAUCAUUUUAAUUGAAGCCAUUAAAAAAAACUGUGAGGCAAUAUAAAUGGUAAAAGUAUACUUAGGGAGGAAGGAAGAGCUAGCACUUUCUGAAAAGCUUUAAAACAGCAACAGACGCUUUACAAAAGGUUUGACGGAAGAGAAUAAACUUCUGUAAACUACAGGUACUGUAUAAAGGUAACAUUAACAAUCAUCUUAUAAAAUACAGCAACAGAGACCAUACGGAUACUCAAGCUUCUUUGAAACUAAGUCUUCUGGGGUCUUGGUUAAAAUGUAUGUUCAAAAACUAUUUUAAACAAGGACUAAAAGCUUCAUAUUUUUAAUUUACAGUUCCCUGGCAUAAACAUCACACUAUACACAUCUUCCAAACAAGCAGUAAAUACAAUUUCGUUUAACCAUGCGUGGUGUCAUCUUCUACAAAGUCUUUGGCCAUUUCUGCUGUGAUCACAUCAAUAUGACUAACCUUAUUUCUGAAUUUUACACCAUAGAACUUGUCAGCCGAUUCCAGCAAUUCAGGCCUAAAAGUGGUUGUAAUGAACUGAGCAUGUUCAGCUAGUUCCAUAAUCAUAUCUGAAACAGCUUUUCUGUGCUGAGCAUCCAAGGCUUGGUCAAUUUCAUCAAACAAGUAAAAUGGAGCUGGAUCACAUUUCUGGAUGGCAAAUAUCAGGGCUAGAGCUACCAGGGAUUUCUGUCCACCUGAAAGUUGUUGCAUUUCUCUCAUUUCACCCUGCUUCCCCGUGAAUGAUACCCUUAUGCCAACUCCGGUGAACUGGUCUACAGAAGGCACACUGCUCUGCGAUCCAGAUCCUCUUUCACUCUCAGUGCUGCCCUCACCUUCAUCUUGGGAUUGACUGCCUUCCACAUCUCCUUUCUUCAUCACUAACGUGGCCUUGCCACCAGGGACUAACUUCUGGAAUACUUCACUGAAAUUUUUUGACACCUGCUUGAAAGUCAGCUGAAUAGCCUCAUAUUUUCUAAGCUCUAGCACGUUCAUCAGCUCCAUGAUUGACUUGUAGCCCCUGUCCAGCUCCUCCUGUCUUUUUAUUAGUUUUUCCUUCUGCUCUGAGAAAUUCACAAACUGAUCCAAAGCUUUUUUAUUAACGUGACUGUAUUUCUUCAGUUCCGUAUUGCACUGCUCCAAUUUGCGGAAUAACUGCUUUAAACUUAAAGUCUGGUAUUUUUCAAAAGCCUCCUGUGGAAGUGAGCCCAAUUCUCGGAUUUUCUUCAUGCAUUCCUCCUUCUUCUUGAGGAGCAUGCCUUGCCUAUUAGUCAUUUUUUCAAGUUCUUUUGUGUCAUGGUUAAUGGCAUCCAUAUGCUCCUUCUCCAUGUUCUUCCAGCGUUCCAUGCUCUUUUGCAAUUCCUUAAUUCCCGCUUCUGUUUUGUCAAUAGAGUUAUCCAGAUCAUCUGACCGUGCCAGUGUAUCCUUCACUCGUUUGUUGAUAGCCUCAAGUUCUGACGUUGUGGCAGUAAGAACUGUGCCACCUUCUGUUUCUCGUAGCUCAUUCAGUUCUUGUUCCACUUGGUCUAAGCGUUUUCUCAGAUUCUCAUUGAGAUACGUUUCAACUCUUGUUAUAAUGCCUUCUAGUUUAAUCCUCUCAUUCAAAAGCUGUCUAUUUUCUUGUUGCAGUUGCCUAAUUUCAUCAUUAAGAGCAUCCACACGUUUCUGAUCCUCAAGACUGAGUUGAGACAACAGAUCGGUUCCCAGCUCUGCUUUCAAUGAUUCUCUGGUUGAUUCCAUAGCAUGUAAACUUGCCUCCAAGCUCUGUAAGCUGCGUUGCUUAGGCAUAAAUGUCUUUUCAGACUGCUGCCUUUUCUCCUUCAGCAUUUUCAUUUCUG
rnacentral:lncRNA from 1 species